rnacentral:rRNA from 1 species
GACAGCAGCCGCCGCGGUAACACAGAGGGUGCGAGCGUUAAUCGGAUUUACUGGGCGUAAAGCGUGCGUAGGCGGCUUUUUAAGUCGGAUGUGAAAUCCCUGAGCUUAACUUAGGAAUUGCAUUCGAUACUGGGAAGCUAGAGUAUGGGAGAGGAUGGUAGAAUUCCAGGUGUAGCGGUGAAAUGCGUAGAGAUCUGGAGGAAUACCGAUGGCGAAGGCAGCCAUCUGGCCUAAUACUGACGCUGAGGUACGAAAGCAUGGGGAGCAAACAGGAUUAGAGACCCCUGUAGUCCCUGUCUCUUAUAC